rnacentral:rRNA from 1 species
AGCUACAGGCUUAACACAUGCAAGUCGAGGGGCAUCAGGAAGAAAGCUUGCUUUCUUUGCUGGCGACCGGCGCACGGGUGAGUAACACGUAUCCAACCUGCCCUUUACUCGGGGAUAGCCUUUCGAAAGAAAGAUUAAUACCCGAUGGCAUAAUGAUUCCGCAUGGUUUCAUUAUUAAAGGAUUCCGGUAAAGGAUGGGGAUGCGUUCCAUUAGGUUGUUGGUGAGGUAACGGCUCACCAAGCCUUCGAUGGAUAGGGGUUCUGAGAGGAAGGUCCCCCACAUUGGAACUGAGACACGGUCCAAACUCCUACGGGAGGCAGCAGUGAGGAAUAUUGGUCAAUGGGCGCUAGCCUGAACCAGCCAAGUAGCGUGAAGGAUGAAGGCUCUAUGGGUCGUAAACUUCUUUUAUAUAAGAAUAAAGUGCAGUAUGUAUACUGUUUUGUAUGUAUUAUAUGAAUAAGGAUCGGCUAACUCCGUGCCAGCAGCCGCGGUAAUACGGAGGAUCCGAGCGUUAUCCGGAUUUAUUGGGUUUAAAGGGAGCGUAGGUGGACUGGUAAGUCAGUUGUGAAAGUUUGCGACUCAACCGUAAAAUUGCAGUUGAUACUGUCAGUCUUGAGUACAGUAGAGGUGGGCGGAAUUCGUGGUGUAGCGGUGAAAUGCUUAGAUAUCACGAAGAACUCCGAUUGCGAAGGCAGCUCACUGGACUGCAACUGACACUGAUGCUCGAAAGUGUGGGUAUCAAACAGGAUUAGAUACCCUGGUAGUCCACACAGUAAACGAUGAAUACUCGCUGUUUGCGAUAUACAGUAAGCGGCCAAGCGAAAGCAUUAAGUAUUCCACCUGGGGAGUACGCCGGCAACGGUGAAACUCAAAGGAAUUGACGGGGGCCCGCACAAGCGGAGGAACAUGUGGUUUAAUUCGAUGAUACGCGAGGAACCUUACCCGGGCUUAAAUUGCAGUGGAAUGAUGUGGAAACAUGUCAGUGAGCAAUCACCGCUGUGAAGGUGCUGCAUGGUUGUCGUCAGCUCGUGCCGUGAGGUGUCGGCUUAAGUGCCAUAACGAGCGCAACCCUUAUCUUUAGUUACUAACAGGUUAUGCUGAGGACUCUAGAGAGACUGCCGUCGUAAGAUGUGAGGAAGGUGGGGAUGACGUCAAAUCAGCACGGCCCUUACGUCCGGGGCUACACACGUGUUACAAUGGGGGGUACAGAAGGCAGCUAGCGGGUGACCGUAUGCUAAUCCCAAAAGCCUCUCUCAGUUCGGAUCGAAGUCUGCAACCCGACUUCGUGAAGCUGGAUUCGCUAGUAAUCGCGCAUCAGCCACGGCGCGGUGAAUACGUUCCCGGGCCUUGUACACACCGCCCGUCAAGCCAUGGGAGCCGGGGGUACCUGAAGUACGUAACCGCAAGGAUCGUCCUAGGGUAAAACUGGUGACUGGGGCUAAGUCAUA